ensembl:lncRNA
UCUUAUCUCUCUUUAACAACCUUCCCAGGCCAAGGGGUUUGAGGCGGGGAGGACUGGGGGUCCUGACGGCCCAGACCCUGGAGACCUCCUCUUACAGGAUGGGCAGCCUAGGGGCAGCCCUGGUUGGGGGUGUUGGGGAGAGGAGGGGAAUUUGGGGUGCGGGUCCUGUCCAGAGCCCAGUGGGAGAGUGGGGCCUGGGGUGGCCAGCACUGAAUCUGGGGGGCACAGCAAUGGAACAUGGUUUGGGGCUUCCUGCCUCCUUGUGGUGGGCACUGGGGCCAGGUUUGCCGGGCGGUCCCUGCACAGGCCCCCAGGCCGCCUGGGGAACCUGGGACUGGUGGGGGUGAGGCUGCAGGCCCGGCUCGCAGAGGGGUCAGUGUCUUGUGGCCACGCUCUUCUGCAGGGUCCAGCUUGCUGGGCCCGAAGAGGAGAAGGCCCUCAGCCCCCGCAUCCCAGGCUGAGCUGGGAGUCCAGCAUGAUUUGGCUUGCUGGGUGGGGGGGUGCUGUUUAAAGCUCCCCUGCCCUGAUUCUAAGGUGCAGCCAGACAGAGACUCCUGGUCCUGGGGCCCCAGCCCCUCUCCCUCCUGCAGAGGCGGAUUCUGAACCACUGAGCCAUCCGGAAGCCCCUGCGCCACGACUGCUGAGCCCAUGAGCUGCAACUAUCGACCCGUGUGCUGCAACCACUUAAGCCCUUGUGCCCAAGAGAGGCCCCCACGAUGAGCAGCCCGGAGCUGGAGAGCAGCCCCCACUCAGUCGCAACUGGAGAAAAGCCCGAGCAGCGACAAAGACCCACCAUGGCCAAAGAUAAAUAA